rnacentral:sRNA from 1 species
AGCGGCAGCGGCGGCUGGGAGAGCGGUCGGCGGGGUUUCUUCGUUGCAUUGCCUGAGAGGAGCGGAGUCUGCCAGGUGGUGUCCAUCAUGUUCUCUUUCAACAUGUUCGACCACCCUAUUCCCAGGGUCUUCCAAAACCGCUUCUCCACACAGUACCGCUGCUUCUCUGUGUCCAUGCUAGCAGGGCCUAAUGACAGUAAUUAUGCCGCCCUCAGCCCUGGACCAACUCAGCCGACUUAACAUUACCUAUCCCAUGCUGUUCAAACUGACCAAUAAGAAUUCGGACCGCAUGACGCAUUGUGGCGUGCUGGAGUUUGUGGCUGAUGAGGGCAUCUGCUACCUCCCACACUGGAUGAUGCAGAACUUACUCUUGGAAGAAGGCGGCCUGGUCCAGGUGGAGAGCGUCAACCUUCAAGUGGCCACCUACUCCAAAUUCCAACCUCAGAGCCCUGACUUCCUGGACAUCACCAACCCCAAAGCCGUAUUAGAAAACGCACUUAGGAACUUUGCCUGUCUGACCACCGGGGAUGUGAUUGCCAUCAACUAUAAUGAAAAGAUCUACGAACUGCGUGUGAUGGAGACCAAACCCGACAAGGCAGUGUCCAUCAUUGAGUGUGACAUGAACGUGGACUUUGAUGCUCCCCUGGGCUACAAAGAACCCGAAAGACAAGUCCAGCAUGAGGAGUCGACAGAAGGUGAAGCCGACCACAGUGGCUAUGCUGGAGAGCUGGGCUUCCGCGCUUUCUCUGGAUCUGGCAAUAGACUGGAUGGAAAGAAGAAAGGGGUAGAGCCCAGCCCCUCCCCAAUCAAGCCUGGAGAUAUUAAAAGAGGAAUUCCCAAUUAUGAAUUUAAACUUGGUAAGAUAACUUUCAUCAGAAAUUCACGUCCCCUUGUCAAAAAGGUUGAAGAGGUGAGUGUAUUUCCUUGUAUUUCCUUGGUUGGUAAUGAGGAGAUUUAUUUGCUAGUGAUGACUGAAGUUCUUGGCAUUCUGAGUAGGGGUGUGCAUUAGUCUGUUUCCAAGCUGCUGGUAAAGAUGUACCCGAGACUGGGCAAUUUACAAAAGAAAGAGGUUUAAUGGACUUACAGUUCACAUGGCUGGGGAGGCCUCACAAUCAUGGCAGGGGGCAAGUCACAUCUUACAUGGAUGGUAGCAGGCAGAGAAAAAGCUGGUGCAGGGAAACACCUACUUAUAAAACCAUCAGAUCUCAUGAGACUUAUCACUGUCACGAUAACAGCACGGAAAAGACCCGCCCUCAUGACUCAGUUACCUCCCACUGACUCAGUUACCUCCCACCUGGUCCCUCCCACAACACGUGGUAAUUCACGAUGAGAUUUGAGUGGGGACGCAGCCAAACCACAUGAGGGUGUCUGUCAUGUUUUCCCUUUCCUAGGGUCCCUCUGCUCCCUGGUGUCCUGUUUUUUUCUGUAGAGCUGGUGUGGGGUGUAUGAAACAGAAGACUUGCAGCAUGGGGGUCAGGAGCUCUGUCUUGCUCUAGAGCCGACUCCAGGCUCUGUUAUCACAGAACUGUGUGCCCUGGGUGGGCUUCGUCUUCCAACAGAGACCUUGAACUUCAAAUAUAGGCAGCACCUUCUAGCUGAGCAGGGUGGUGGUGGGACAGAGGAAGGCAAGGGCUGAGCAUCCUGUAGACAUGGGCACUUUGUGGGAGUGUGGCCAGGCCUGGCAGCAACUGGAACACAGUCACCUCUGUGUGAUGAGGAUUUCUACAACACCAGCGCUUCAGACCCAUCGCUCUCCUGGUUUCUUUUCUCAAAGGAUUGGACCCUUGAGGAUCCAGGAUUAGGGCGGAGGGCAGAUGUACUGAGCCACCCAUUCAGGACCAGCUGCUACAUGGGAGCCAUCCCAAUUACUGAACUCUUUUCUCUAGCACUUGGGGUGGUUGGGGACAGAGACCACUGUGAAGUUUGCACACCUGGUCCUACUCACAACCACUUCUGGGCUCAAUGUUCAAGUUGAAACAGCAUUGGGCAUUGGGACCUUUCAGGCUCAGAGGAGCAAACAUAGUGGCCAGUCAGACCUCACCCUCCAGCUCCUCCUUCAGGCACCAUCCAGGCUUCACCAGCUACAGGCUGCCUUUCUCACUAAAAGCCAGUGCCUGACUCCGACCUAAGACCUUAGCAUGGGACGUCCCCCAGGCUGACUGUGACCUGACUGUUGCAAAUUUACAGAAGGCAGGGGAGGCCAGUGGGCACAGCAGGCCUGUUUGACCAUAAAUACGUAUUUAAGAAGUAUAUGUUUAGAUGGGAUUGAAGACAUAUUUAGCUCUACUCCAUCCUGCAGCCCCACUAAGGCUGUAGCUAAAGGUCAUGAGGUAAGAAAGACAGUGGAAGAGGAGGCAACUACAAGGCUUUGGAAGCCCCAGGUACCUUAGUAGAGCAUAGAAAGCCUAGAAGCAGUUCUGUGUAGAUUGUGGAAUUCUCAAAAGGCACCUCUAGAAAUGAGGGACUAAAGACAGAAUUCUGUUACUAAGCAGUUAGAGCUGCAUUACCCUCCCUCCCCCAUCCCAGAAGGCUGGAGGCUCGACUCCAGUAGGUCUCUAGACUACUAUCUCUGAAGUGAAGGCCACAGUCAGAAAGCUUUCCAUUCCAGCAUCUAAAUAAUAGAGGAUUUGUGGGAAGAACAGCCACAGAAACCAAAGGAGCAGAAAUCAUCAGGGAAAUAGUUUCCCCAAAGAUGGGCACAAUUUUGCAGAUUUGAAGGGCUCACUGAGUUCCAGCAAAAUGAAUGAAAAUAGCCCCACUUUGAGGCAAAGAAAGAUCCUAAAGCUUCUAGAGAGAGAACAGAGGUAUCACCAUGCAUUAAGGACAUCAUCAGCCAAGCGCCAUGGCUCACACCUGUAAUCCCAACACUUUGGGAGGCUGAUGCGGGAAGAUCAUCUGAGCCCAGGAGUUUGAGACCAGCCUGGGCAAUAUAGGGAGACCCUGUCUCUACAGAAAAUUUUAAAAAUUAGCCAAGCAUGGUGGCACGCACCUGUAGUCCCAGCUACUUUAAUGCUGAGUUGGGAGCAUCACUUGAGCCUUGGGAGGUGGAGGCUGCUGUGAGCUGAGAUCACACCACUGCACUCCAGCCUGGGUAACAGUAAGUCCCUGUCUCCCAAAAAAAGGGACAUCAUCUUAGCAGGACACAGAGGAAACUAGAAGAUAGUGGAGCAAUAUACUCAAAAUUCUGAGGGGAAAUUUUUUCCAACCUAAAAUUCUGUACCAACUCUUAUGAGCUGGAUUGUGUCCCUCCAGUGUUUCUGUGUUGAAGCCCUAACCCCCAGUAACUCAGAUAGGGCCAUUUAAAGAAGCAAUUAAGUUAAAAUAAGACCAUUAGAGUUGGCCGUAAUUCAAUCUGGUGUCCUUUUAAGAAGAGGAAAUUUGGACAUAGGAAGGGCCAUGUGAGGACACAGCAAGAAGGCAGCCAUCUGCAAGCCAAGGAAAAGGGUGUCAGAGGAAACCAAACCUGCUGACACCUUGAUCCUGCACUUCUAGCCUCCAAAACUAUGAAGAAUAAAUUUCUGUUGUUUGAGCCACCCUAUCUUUGGCAUUUUAUAUGGCAGCCCUAGCAGACUAACAUACCAACCAGCCUAUCAAUGAAAUAUGAGAGUAGAAAAAAGGAACUCACAGGAAGAUAAUCCUCAUGCAUCUUUUCUCAGGAAGCUCCUAGGAGGUGUCCCUCACUAAAAUGAAGGAAUAAGGUAGAAAUAAGAAAGUCAUAGAAUCCAGGAAAUAAGGAGCCCCCACUAACAUGUACGGCACCUAGAGAAAGGCCAGUCCAGGUACGGCAGGGUGAAGGCCCAGGAGACACAGGUUUGUCAAAACAGAUGAACUCCAUGCAAUGCAGGCUGUGAUUGAAUAGAGGAAGAAGCCAAACACAGCUAUUGACACCAGGCUAAAUGGAAGGCUGUGCGGCAAAGGAAGACUAAAUGCAGCUGUGACUCAAAUUUACAUGAAUGUGACCACAUAAAUACUAAACAGUGCUCUAUUGCAGGUAUAACAUGCUACAGUUAGUGGGGAGCCAGGUGCAGGGAUGUGUGUUGAACAUUCCAGAAUCCUCUUCUUCCUAGGGAAAAGUUGAGAUAAUGCCUCAGACUGACUAGCAAUAAAAGCAUGUGAAAAAAAAUAUGUGCAGUUUUCAAAGGCUUGGGAAAAAACAAUCCCUCUUUCUGCUGAUGGAAGGAUAGCUUAGUGGAAUGUUUCUGAGGGCUGGUUGGUCUCUAUAUGUUAAAAGCAUUAAAAGUGUGUACACACUUUGACCCAGGAAUUUGAGCUCUAAAAAAUCAGAGUUGUGUGCAAAUACAUUAAGCUGCUUACCACAGCAAUGUCCACUGGUAGAAAACUGGCCCUCCUACAUGAUGGAAUUCUUUUUUACAGAAUUCAGUUCUGUAGCCUUGGGAGUAUACUAGACAGGAAGUUUAUUGGCAUGAGAUUUCAGAAUUAAGUGGGAAAACAAUUCUUUAAGCAUGUACAGAAAAGUGACCUGAAAUGUUUUUGGGUGAUGAACUUACAGAUUUUUUUUUUUUUUUUUUUUUUUUUUUUGAGGCAGGGUCUUGCCCUGUUGCUCUGCCAUCCAGGCUGGAGCAGUGGCACAGUCAUAGCUCACUAUGGCCCUGGCUCAAACCAUCCUCCCGUCUCAGCCUCCCAAGUAGCUGGGACCAUAGGCACAUACCACACCGAGCUAUUUUUGGUAGAGAUGGGAUCUCACUGUGUUGCCCAGGCUGGUCUUGAACUCCUGGGCUCAAGUGAUCCUCCCACCUAGGCCUCCCAAAGUGCUGGGAUUACAGGUGUCAGCUAUCGUGUCCAGCCUGAGAUAUUUCUUAUGAGUAAUGUGGAUGGUACGUGAGUCCAUAGAGUAAGGCACUUAUUGUAAACCUCCAGGGACUUUCUGAAAAUAGUAUCUUCUCUUCAAACCUAGGAUGAAGCUGGAGGCAGAUUCGUCGCUUUCUCUGGAGAAGGACAAUCGUUGCGUAAAAAGGGAAGAAAGCCCUAAGUGAGGACUGUUGGCUGAUUGGAAAAUAAUAAAAGAAUCAUUUGCAACA